GCCGUUAUCGUCUAAUGGCAAGGACGCUGCCCUCUCACGGCAGUAAUCGGGGUUCGAAUCCCCGUAACGGCA
rnacentral:tRNA from 1 species